rnacentral:rRNA from 1 species
CGCAUCUGUGCAUGCAGCAUAUCAAUAAGCGGAGGAAAAGAAACUAACAAGGAUUCCCUAGUAACGGCGAGCGAAGCGGGAAGAGCUCAAAUUUGAAAUCUUAAAGGUUUUCCCUUGACGAAUUGUAGUUUAAAGAAGUGUUUUCUAUUGAAGUUUUGGUAAAAGUUCUUUGGAAUAGGACAUCAUAGAGGGUGAGAAUCCCGUAUUUGACCAUUUACUUUUCAGCUGUGUGAUACACUUUCAAAGAGUCGGAUUGUUUGGGAAUGCAGUCCAAAAUGGGUGGUAAAUUUCAUCUAAAGCUAAAUAUUGGCGAGAGACCGAUAGCGAACAAGUACCGUGAGGGAAAGAUGAAAAGAACUUUGAAAAGAGAGUUAAACAGUACGUGAAAUUGUCAAAAGGGAAGCGUUUGACACCAGUGUUGUUUUUCUGAAAAUCAAUUAAAGAACUGUUUAUGCUAAGUUGUUUAGACUUUAUCAGCUAAUCUGCUUAGUUUUGAGCUUUUCUUUAAUGCACUUUUCAGUUAACAAGUCAACAUCAAUUUCUUUUGCUGUAAAAAAGCUUGAGGAAGGUGGCUUGAGAUUCGUCUUAAGUGUUUAUAGCCUCUUGCCUAUGCAGUCGGAGAGAUUGAGGUCUGCAGCGUAGAUCCUUCGGGGCUAAAUGCAUUUGUGCUAAGUUAUAGCAUUUUAUAGACAACUUGUUGACUAUGAUUUGUCCUGUAGCUUACUCGCUUAUGUUAUUUUACCUACGCUUAGGAUGUUGACGAGACUGUCGAUCUC